rnacentral:rRNA from 1 species
CGGACGGGUGAGUAAUGUAUGGGGAUCUGCCCGAUGGCGGGGGAUAACUACUGGAAACGGUAGCUAAUACCGCAUAAUGUCUGCGGACCAAAGCGGGGGACCUCCGGGCCUCGCGCCAUCAGAUGAACCCAUAUGGGAUUAGCUAGUAGGUAAGGUAACGGCUUACCUAGGCGACGAUCCCUAGCUGGUCUGAGAGGAUGAUCAGCCACACUGGGACUGAGACACGGCCCAG